GCCCCUGUGGUCCAGCGGAGACGACACCGGCUUCCGAAGCCGGAGACCCGGGUUCGACUCCCGGCGGGGGCG
rnacentral:tRNA from 1 species